CUCAAAGGUUCCUGGCAAACUAGACAAACUGCUUUCAACUGCUGCAUAUGGAYGAUCUCCCCAUUGGCGGUUUAAUGGAAGCAGACAACACCUAUGAAAGGAAUGCCCACAUGUCAGUCUCUGAAAAUUAGGCUGUGAAUCAUCGUCUGCUCGACAGGUUGGAUGGUCACAGAAUARCAUUGGGUCAGGUUCUUUGUCGCCACUAAAAGCAUAGCCAAGAGGAAAACACCUUUGGUCUACUAUAGUAUCUAACGCUGAAUUUCGGAUUAAGAAUCCCACAUCGACAGACAAUCUCCCUAUCGGAGUCACUUCCUSGAAAUAGCUCAGACACAAAGGAGAAGCUCCCUGCUGGUUUUAUCCCAAUCAUUGCUUUAACUAUGUUAUGGUGCUUAUAGUCAGAGUAAAAUGAUGAUCGCAAGUGCAGGGAUUCAGGAGCUUCCAUAUUUAUUUUUGUGCAAUCAAUAAUUGUUGUUUUUGGGAAAAGAACAAUUAGAGUCUGGCAUGAAUUUAUCGAUUUCUUCUCUCAUAGGCCAUAUUGGCAAAGUGCAGAACUGCAAGGACAUAAAAUUCAGCCAGCCUCGUUUCCAUGUGACCAACGAGCUCGCGCGCUCUUAGUGCAUUCGGUSUAUUUUAUGUCCCCCAUUUACUGCUAGUUAGAAAGCACAUUCUCAGUUGUUUUAAGACCAUUAGUGUUGUUAGUAUCAAAUGUUUUAAAGUUUCUGUGAGUGAAAGUCGAGUGGCCUUUCGUAAAUAGACCAGUUGAGAGUUYCCUGAAAUAAAAUGUUUUAAAAUCUAUAAUCACCAAUUCCGACAUGAGAGACACCAGAGCAAACAAUUUCCCUGGUUUAUAAGUGAAUAAGAUCAAUUAAAGUUGAAAACGAUUCRUUAACGUGUGUUGGUUCACUUAUUAACUGGUGCAAGUUAUAGAGAUUGGUGAUGCCUGUUAAGAUCCUUGUGKGGUGAACUUUGGGAGAAUUGAAAACUUGAUCUUUAUAUUAUCGAAUCCUCUUUAAAGUGUAUAUGACAUGAAUUUUUUUUUGGCUGAUUGUAUAUUAUUAUUAUGUAGUAAAACCUUGUGGAAACAAAUUUUAAUUGCUCUUUUCCUGUCUGAAUUCACGCUAUGUGCCUUGAAAAAUGUCGAAGACCUCUACUUAUUGAGGGAAUGGCUAUGAAAAUGAACAAGGUUUUAAUAAAGGGUUCGGUCCCAACUUGAGCAGCAGUGAUACCAGCUAGCUCAAGAAUUACAAAGCGAGUGAAGCGACAASGGUACAGUAUUAAAACGAGCCGUGCCGAUAGCCUGUCUGGGGUGAUAUCCAGCCUCGAGUCAGUAUGGCYUCAAAGGAAGAUUCAUUCGUCUGUACAGAGCAAAGUCACUGYCUAUUUUAAAAAGUAGUUGUUACUGUACUCASUUUUCYCUAUUCUACUGUUAUAUCUACAGUCCUGUACUACUGUAURAUUUAURUAMGUUUUAAAGUACUACUAAAGUYGAGUUAUAGCUGAGCUCCAAUAGCAUCAGAAGUUUUAGAAACRUUAUUUAAAAAUACAAUAUGCAUUAUUGCACUUAAUUUGUUUAGUAGUUUCGUACUGAUUAAUAAAACACGUUUUUAACAU